GAUGAAGAACGCAGCGAAAUGCGAUAAGUAAUGUGAAUUGCAGAAUUCAGUGAAUCAUCGAAUCUUUGAACGCACAUUGCGCCCCCCAGUAUUCUGGCGGGCAUGCCUGUUCGAGCGUCAUUUCAACCAUCAAGCCCUGCUUGUGUUGGGGUCCUGCGGCUGCCCGCAGGCCCUGAAAACCAGUGGCGGGCUCGCUAGUCGCACCGAGCGCAGUAGCACAUCUCGCUCAGGGCGUGCGGCGGGCUCCAGCCGUUAAAGCACCCACCUUUCGCAAGGUUGACCUCGGAUCAGGUAGGAAUACCCGCUGAACUUAAGCAUAUCAAUAAGCGGAGGA
rnacentral:misc_RNA from 1 species